rnacentral:miRNA from 1 species
GAAACCAAGUGUGGGUGUGGCCU